rnacentral:misc_RNA from 1 species
UGGCGGAUGGAAGUGACUAAUUUCUAGAGAUUCGAGCCAACUCUCUGGCGCAUAACUUCCAGAUUUAUGCGUUUCCUUUGAGUGCGCCUAUUCAAGAAGCGAAAUUUAGAUCAGAUCAUAUUCUCAGGAUAGUUUUCAGAACCUCCAAAAAUGGCCUCUACCUUGGAUAUUGAAAUAUUUAAGGUAAUCAAUGCUGGGAAUUUCUGGGCUCACCCUAUUGCUAGUCCUGGCAACGAAUGUCAAGACUUUAUGGGAAAACUGAAUGAUCACUUUAGAAAGGAUACAAGCUCACAAUCUGUUAAUCAUGUGGAGAAGGGUCAGAUUUGUGUGGUGAAGCGGACCUCAGAUAACUGCUGGUACAGGGCAAGAAUUCAAACAGUAUUACAGACAUUAAAUGGACCACAAGCAAGUGUUUUUCUUGUGGAUGUGGCAGAGAGUACCUUGGUUCCUUGUUGCAGGAUUAGGGAAAUGCCAGAGUUAUUUCACAAUAUCCCAUUUCAGGCUAUGGAGUGUUCAUUAGUUGGAGUCAAACCACUUGGUCUUGUUACAUCCUACUUUGACCUGACUACCUCUAAACAAGUUACUGAUCACUGGGAUGAAGCUGCCACAAACCUAUUUAAAACCCUCAUACAAGGAUGUAAGCUUCAAGUUACCAUCCAUAAACUAGAUGAGAAAGGAAAAUAUCAUGUGCUACUGCUAGCUGACUCAGGGUAUGCUCAGGUUUGUGUCAAUGAUGAAUUGGUUUUGAAUGGCUUUGCAACAAACUUCUCUGAGGAUUUCGAAAAUCCAGUAAUAAACACAACCAAAGCUGCAAAACUGAAAGCAAUGGGAGAAAAAUUCCAAAAGGAAGGUGAGGAAAUGUUGAAAAGUAUGAAGGAGUAUGUCAAACGUGGCAAGUUUAGCGGAAGCGAAGAAUCUUACAGCACUGAUGAAGAGUCUAUGAGCCACCAAAGCAAUAAUAGGUAUUUGGGGUUGAGGGAAUCCCCUUUGGAUGUUUUAAGACAACAGGUCUUAGGACAUGGAUCAUAUCAGGAAAACAAUGGCCCACUUCAAAAGCCUGCAGCUAGACUUCCUGAAGGUGCAUGCGAGGGCCUUUUAUCACGGAGACUCUCAUUAGAAAAGGAAUUCAGCCGUGAAAAGUCAGAAAAAGAACUAGCGUAUACAUCUAGGAAACCAGUAGCAUCAUCAAGUGAUGAGAAUUCAGGAAGAGUGCGAUUUCUUUCGUCUAGACUGCCAGCAACGGGUAGUGGCAUGAGGGGAGGUUUUCAUCCAAGUUUAUCAAAACCUCCAGAAGCCACACAUCUGAAGCCCAUUCUUAAAAAGAAGAGCGCCCACAGUGGUUCUUCUAGUGAGACAGAUGACUUUCGUCAGAGAAGAGUUGCAGACAGAGACGAUUCUGGUGUUUCCUGCAGCGAAGUACCUGGAUUGUCCUCUAAUGGUUCCAGUGGCGAAAUCUCUCCAAAAGAAAUAGAGGAAAAACAACAGCCACCUUCAAAUGGUUCAACAAGCGUAGAUACUUUGUUUAGCCAACACAACGUUAGAUUGCCUUUAGAAAAUUUUACUUCAUCUAGGAGAAUAGUUCAGGAAAAUGGGCCAAAGUCUAAAGCUAAUGCUGUGGCAAACAGAGACGAAGAAGAUCGUCAAAGGUUAUUAUCUUCAAUAAAGACUCUAAUAGAAACCCGUGAUAGAGACUGCAGUUCAACUUUAGAUCCCACGGAGGAUAUAGUGCAAACAUGUGAGCCUCUAGUGGCUAAAAGCACUCUAGAAGCUGUGCGUGGCUCUGAACAUUUUCCAUUACAAUCCUCAACAAGCUUACACAUGGUUGAAGGGAGAAAUUUAAGUGAAAAAUCUACACAAUUGUCUCAACUAUUGCAGACUUCUUCUGCUUCUUCUGGAAGGUCUCCUCUUCCUUCAGAAAUACUAUGGUCCACAGAGAAGUCAGCUUCACCUGAACAACGCACCACAAGUGGAAAAAAGUUAUCAUAUUCUGGUGGUGUUGUUGUUUGCGCAGAAGGUGCACCCGCUCCAAAGCCAGUUUUUACACCAGAGUUUUGUCCAUUUGCUCAUUACUUGCUUCGGCUCAGUAUUUCGAACCCUAGCUUGCUUCAGGCACAUGCCUGGCCAACACUCCUUAGAGGACGCGACCUUGUAGGCAUUUGCCAAGCAAAUGAUGCACAAAUACAAGCUUAUCUACUGCCGAUUAUCUACCAGUUAGUGGAGGAAAGGGAAGUUUACGCUGAUCUACCGAAGCUGUCCAGUGGGCCGCAGUUUCUCAUCCUUGCUCCAACUUGGGGAGCUGUUGUUGAUAUCCACAGGCAAUGCAGGCUCAUUCUAGCUAAAAACAAGAACAUUCGUGUGCAGCUGAUAUUUGCUGCCGGUGCCGAAGAUAAUCAGAUUAUUCCAUUAUUGAAUGGCUGUGAGAUCUUAAUUGCUACACCACCUUGCUUUCUUCGAAUGCUCAGGAAAUACUACAUUUCCCUAGAUCGACUUUGCCAUUUGGUAUUUCAUGAUGCUGACAUAAUGGUAGAGGAGUUCACAUCUGAGAUCAAAUGCAUCAUGAGACACUACGCCAAGCUAUUGCAAUCCCAGCCUUGUCUCUCAGCACCUCGCCAGGGAGUUGUCAUGGCGUCGUCUUGGAGUGCGGGUGUAGCGUCUUUGGUGAAGGCGUACUUGGGGAAUCCUGUGGUGAUAAUUCCUGACAUGAUUGAAGCAGCUAUCUACAGGGGUGUGCAACAAAUUGUAACAUUUUGCUCCGAGAGCCAGAGGGAUGUAGAACUUCUUGGUUACCUGGAAUCGUUUAUUAGCACAAAAGACAUCUGUGUUUUCACAUCUACGGCAGCGGAAGCAGAGGAUGUAGGACAAAUCCUGAAUGCAAACUGCUACUUUGCUCUCGUGGCACACAAUUUUCUACCACCUCAUGAACUUGACAGUAUUCAGAGACAAUGGAACACCCCUCAUACCACUGAUACUAUGCCUGUUCUAGUUAUAGCUGAAGACGUUAUUGGUCAGUUAAACAUCACAAAUGCCUCAUGUGUUAUACACUUCAACUUUCCUGGUUCAAAGAUGCGAUUCAGCAAAAGACUCGCCACUCUAGCAGGGACGUUCACAUCAUCUGACGAGCAUGGCUGCGUUUCUGUUAUAUUUGUGACUGAUGGCCGAAAUAUGUAUCACACGCCUUCCAUACGUCAGCUUGUGCAGAGGUCUGGUCAAGAAGUUCCACAACUACUGGAUGCAAUGGCUGACCUUGCUGAACAGGAGAAAGAGAAGGUUAAGGACCUAUGUUACUCUCUGAAAGCUUUUGGAACUUGCAGAUACAAACGGGGAAUAAGGAACUGUUUGAAGAGACACUCUGUGUUGGCAGAGUUGGAUAAACCAGCAAAAGGAAUUCCUACUUCUGGCAUAGUUAAAGUUCUGAUCAUGAGUGUAAUGGAUGCAACAUGUUACUGGGUGCGAAUCCUUGGACACAAAGCCACAGAUGCAAACCAGCGGAACAGUCAAACUGCGGACAGUACAGAGUUCCUUGAAUUAACAAUGGCAGUCAGUCGAUGGUAUGCAGAUCCAAAUCAUCGGGUUAAGCAAGAGUUGGUUUCUGUUGGUGACUUGUGUGCUGUGAAGCUAAACAACAGCAGUUCUUACAAUAGGGUGAAAGUGUGCUUUGUUACUAAGGAAGAUCACAGUAAAAAGCCAGUGGAAGUGCGGGUUCAAUAUGUCGACAGAGGAAAUUUUGAAUGCGUUCAUGUGGACAGACUUCUUCAGUUGCCUCCCCAGUUUCGCUCCUGUCCCUUUCAGGCAGUUGAAGUGUUCGUGUGCAGACUACAACCUUUGGAUAAAGAUACUGACUGGACUGACGAGACGGCAGCCUAUGUCACACGCCUUAUUGAAGGCAAGGAAAUGGAAGGAAAAGUUGUCUUGAGCCUCGGCAACACGAUGUGGCUGGAUCCUUUGGUCGAAAGGAAAUAUUUGCCCAACAUCAAUGUAACCACCAAUGCGUUGAAUGUUAGGAUGGAAUUGUUGAGGGAAAAACGUGCAGCUGAAAACAAACAGCACGUGCGCUUGCUGAGAAACCUUUGUGAGGGUGUCAUUGAUUUACAGCCCCUGGAAGGAGGACAAACUGGCCUUUCGGAUGUCUGUGAGCAGCCUACUGCUCUAGAAACAAUUGUGCUGCCCGAGGAAGGAUUCCACUCUGUGUAUGUGUCUGCUGUGGAAAAUCCAGGACUCUUUUUCGUACAGCUGAAGUCUUCAGAAGAAAGCUUAGAGGACCUGAAGCAAAAGAUUAACUCUGGAGUUAGCAAAGUUGAAUCGGAGGAGAACGAGAUUUCAAUUGGUUCGCUCUGUGUUGCAAAGUUUUCUGAGGAUAACCUUUGGUACCGAGCGCGUGUCCUGGGCAGUAGGCCAGAUAAAGAGUAUGAUGUAUUUUAUGUGGACUUUGGUGACAGAGAGUGGGUAACAGCGGACAGGAUUGUUCCAGCUUGGAAUGGUAUCCUUCAGUUACCCCUCCAAGCCGUCGAGUGCGCGCUUGUAAAUGUCGACCCUCUUGAGAAAGAGUGGAGCGAAGAGAGUAGUGACGCAUUCUGGGAAAUGGUGACUGAUCAGUUAUUGUUCGCUAAGGUGAAAUCUAAGAGUGCAUCUCUGGUGGCUGGAAGCCACAGAUUUGCCAUUGAACUCUAUAACACUAACACAGAACAUGACGUCAUCAUUAGCCACGAGAUGGUUGCAACAAAGCAUGCGCAGACUUCAGCUGAAGGAAUUAAGAUUUUAUUCCCGCAAUCUGCUACAUCUAUUGAGCAACACGAUUACAAAUUUUCACACCAAAGGAUACCAGAUAUGUGCUUACAAGCCCAUCAAUGUUCGGAUCAAGCAAAGAAAGCAGAAAUUGUUAAGGAAGUGCAGAGUAUUGUCCUGAACAGCGAGAAAUCAAAGGAUGAUAUAAGGGACUGUGGCGGUGUUCAGGCGCUUUGUCGCCUGCUGAGUCUUAGCAGAGAUCCACUGGUUCUUCAGCAUGUACUUGCAAGUCUUGCAUCUCUUUCAUUUGACAAUGCAAGUAACUGCGACGAAGUAACAAGCCAAGGUGGACUUCAAACGAUGUGCUCUUUGUUAGGAAAGACGAAAAACAGCGCAGUUCAGGAAAGCAUAGCUUGGGCUUUGAAGAAUCUGGCUGCCACAGAAAGAAAUCAAAAUGAGGCAAGAACUCGAGGAGGGCUCCGGGCUUUGUGUGAACUUUUGAGGACCACCAUGGAUGACAAAGUCCUAGAGAGAGUGACGUGGGCUAUUGGAUCUCUUGUCGAUAACAACACCAGAAACUGUCAAGCCGUACAAGAUUGUGGUGGCCUGAAAACCAUGUGUGAAUUGGUGUCACUGGCUUACAGCGAAAAUGUUCUAGAGCGUACAAUUUGGGCGCUAGGAAACUUAGCUAUCGACAUGAAGAAUCGCAAUUUUAUUCGACAAUAUGGAGGCCUUGAGAACAUUUGCAAAAAGCUGCAAGAAUUACCCUCCCAACAGAUCAUAAAGCAAGGUGCCAUGACGCUAAAGACCUUGGCGAGUAGUAAUCACCACAAUAAGGACGUUAUGGUCAGAUUGGGAAUGAUUAGCAGCCUUCGAAGUUUAAUGACAAAUGAGCAGCAAGGUUUAGGUAUCAUCCCUCGCCGUGUGUGUGGCGAUUUGCUACAGCGUCUUCUUGGCUCAGCUGCUGGAAACAUACAUACAAGCUCAACCGCUACGGCGCCGGACAAUAGUACCCAAGAAUGCUCGAUCACAUCUGGCGUUGUCAUAAAGCAAGAGCCUGAGACGAGAGCAGUCAAUGGUCUGAUGCAGAAUGGUGAUGUUGACAGUGAAGAAGACGAUGACCUACCCCCUCUCGGUGGGGAGGACAGUGACGAGAAAAAUGAGAGGUUUCCGUCUGCGAUAAUUACACCACCCCCAAAUACUUCUGAGAACCUCUACCCGAGGGAAAUUUUCCCCAUGUCGGAGACGCAGAGAAGUGCUGUUGCUAGUUCUACUGUAAGCAUCAGAAAUCACGCAAUACGUCGUGUGGAAGAGAAUGAUGUAGUUCCAUAUAGCGUGCAUCCGAAAACAGUGUGGUCACAAACACGAGAACUGGUACGAGUUUGUGUGAAGCUGCGCGGAGUGGAGAGACAGCAGACCGAGAUAACUGCGAGCAGGCUCAAGUUUAGUACACAGUUAAUACACGUAGUCUAUGAACUGGACAUGGAGCUGUCAGAGGAGAUUGAUCCUGAGCAAAGUAAGGUAAUUGUCAAGGGCUCAGAGGUGCAAAUUUUACUCAAGAAAAGAAACCAUGCGGUAUGGAAGUGGUUGUUGAAGAGCAAAGAAAAGUUGCCUUACGUCUCCGUAGACUUUGAUCGUUGGGAGGUAUGGUCGUCGUCGUCGGAGGACGAAGCCGACGAUGAUGCGAAUCUACCAACAGUGCCGACGAACCCGAACAAUUCCCAUCACACCUCCGGAGAUAAUGAAGGGAGGAAGGUGAUAUUAUUGCCUGAAAUGCUUGUCAGUGAUUCGGAGUCCAACAGUGAUGAAACCCUACCGUCUGAUGUGGAUUGCUUAAAAUUUUAUUAACCAAAACACUGAGGGAAAAAAAAAAGGGUGAUCGUCAAAAUUUAACAAUUUUUGGACAAGUGGUCAGUGCUUCAUGCUCUCAAGAAAUGGAUCAACCAAGAACAUCUCAAGACUAAUCUCUGUCAGUUCGAAAGGGGGAAAUAAUUUCUACGUUGGGAUCGAGAUGUGAGCACGGGAUUUACACUCGAACAAACACUUGCCACUGGAAAGUAC